rnacentral:rRNA from 1 species
UACAGAGGUCCCAAGCGUUGUUCGGAUUCACUGGGCGUAAAGGGUGCGUAGGCGGUCGGGUAAGUCUGAUGUGAAAUCUCACAGCUUAACUGUGAAACUGCAUUGGAUACUAUCCGGCUCGAGGAAUGGAGGGGAGACUGGAAUACUUGGUGUAGCAGUGAAAUGCGUAGAUAUCAAGUGGAACACCAGUGGCGAAGGCGAGUCUCUGGACAUUUCCUGACACUGAGGCACGAAAGCUAGGGGAGCAAACAGG